AUACGUAGGGGGCAAGCGUUAUCCGGAAUUACUGGGUGUAAAGGGUGCGUAGGCGGUAAUGUAAGUCAGGUGUGAAAGCCCGGAGCUCAACUUCGGGAUUGCACUUGAAACUACAUAACUAGAGUACAGGAGAGGUGAGUGGAAUUCCUAGUGUAGCGGUGAAAUGCGUAGAUAUUAGGAGGAACACCAGUGGCGAAGGCGACUCACUGGACUGUAACUGACGCUGAGGCACGAAAGCGUGGGUAGCGAACAGGAUUAGAUACCCUGGUAGUCCACGCCGUAAACGAUGAAUGCUAGGUGUCGGCUCAUUAAGGGUCGGUGCCGAAGUAAACACAUUAAGCAUUCCACCUGGGGAGUACGUACGCAAGUAUAAA
rnacentral:rRNA from 1 species